rnacentral:rRNA from 1 species
UACGUAGGUGGCGAGCGUUGUCCGGAUUUACUGGGCGUAAAGGGAGCGUAGGCGGACUUUUAAGUGAGAUGUGAAAUACCCGGGCUUAACUUGGGUGCUGCAUUUCAAACUGGAAGUCUAGAGUGCAGGAGAGGAGAAUGGAAUUCCUAGUGUAGCGGUGAAAUGCGUAGAGAUUAGGAAGAACACCAGUGGCGAAGGCGAUUCUCUGGACUGUAACUGACGCUGAGGCUCGAAAGCGUGGGGAGCAAACAGG